rnacentral:rRNA from 1 species
GACGAACGCUGGCGGCGUGCCUAAUACAUGCAAGUCGAGCGAACGGACGAGAAGCUUGCUUCUCUGAUGUUAGCGGCGGGCGGGUGAGUAACACGUGGAUAACCUACCUAUAAGACUGGGAUAACUUCGGGAAACCGUAGCUAAUACCGGAUAAUAUUUUGAACCGCAUGGUUCAAAAGUGAAAGACGGUCUUGCUGUCACUUAUAGAUGGAUCCGCGCUGCAUUAGCUAGUUGGUAAGGUAACGGCUUACCAAGGCAACGAUGCAUAGCCGACCUGAGAGGGUGAUCGGCCACACUGGAACUGAGACACGGUCCAGACUCCUACGGGAGGCAGCAGUAGGGAAUCUUCCGCAAUGGGCGAAAGCCUGACGGAGCAACGCCGCGUGAGUGAUGAAGGUCUUCGGAUCGUAAAACUCUGUUAUUAGGGAAGAACAUAUGUGUAAGUAACUGUGCACAUCUUGACGGUACCUAAUCAGAAAGCCACGGCUAACUACGUG